AGCGGCGGACGGGUGAGUAACACGUGGGUAACCUGCCUGUAAGACUGGGAUAACUCCGGGAAACCGGGGCUAAUACCGGAUGCUUGAUUGAACCGCAUGGUUCAAUUAUAAAAGGUGGCUUUUAGCUACCACUUACAGAUGGACCCGCGGCGCAUUAGCUAGUUGGUGAGGUAACGGCUCACCAAGGCAACGAUGCGUAGCCAACCUGAGAGGGUGAUCGGCCACACUGGGACUGAGACACGGCCCAGACUCCUACGGGAGGCAGCAGUAGGGAAUCUUCCGCAAUGGACGAAAGUCUGACGGAGCAACGCCGCGUGAGUGAUGAAGGUUUUCGGAUCGUAAAACUCUGUUGUUAGGGAAGAACAAGUACCGUUCGAAUAGGGCGGUACCUUGACGGUACCUAACCAGAAAGCCACGGCUAACUACGUGCCAGCAGCCGCGGUAAUACGUAGGUGGCAAGCGUUGUCCGGAAUUAUUGGGCGUAAAGCGCGCGCAGGCGGUUUCUUAAGUCUGAUGUGAAAGCCCCCGGCUCAACCGGGGAGGGUCAUUGGAAACUGGGGAACUUGAGUGCAGAAAAGGAGAGUGGAAUUCCACGUGUAGCGGUGAAAUGCGUAGAGAUGUGGAGGAACACCAGUGGCGAAGGCGACUCUCUGGUCUGUAACUGACGCUAAGGCGCGAAAGCGUGGGGAGCGAACAGGAUUAGAUACCCUGGUAGUCCACGCCGUAAACGAUGAGUGCUAAGUGUUAGAGGGUUUCCGCCCUUUAGUGCUGCAGCAAACGCAUUAAGCACUCC
rnacentral:rRNA from 1 species